rnacentral:rRNA from 1 species
CCUACGGGAGGCAGCAGUAGGGAAUCUUCCGCAAUGGACGAAAGUCUGACGGAGCAACGCCGCGUGAGCGAAGAAGGUCUUCGGAUUGUAAAGCUCUGUUGUUAGGGAAGAACAAGUACCGUUCGAAGAGGGCGGUACCGUGACGGUACCUAACGAGAAAGCCACGGCUAACUACGUGCCAGCAGCCGCGGUAAUACGUAGGUGGCAAGCGUUGUCCGGAAUUAUUGGGCGUAAAGCGCGCGCAGGCGGUUCCUUAAGUCUGAUGUGAAAGCCCACGGCUCAACCGUGGAGGGUCAUUGGAAACUGGGGGACUUGAGUGCAGAAGAGGAGAGCGGAAUUCCACGUGUAGCGGUGAAAUGCGUAGAGAUGUGGAGGAACACCAGUGGCGAAGGCGGCUCUCUGGUCUGUAACUGACGCUGAGGCGCGAAAGCGUGGGGAGCAAACAGGAUUAGAUACCCUGGUAGUCCACGCCGUAAACGAUGAGUGCUAAGUGUUAGAGGGUAUCCACCCUUUAGUGCUGUAGCUAACGCAUUAAGCACUCCGCCUGGGGAGUACGCUCGCAAGAUGAAACUCAAAGGAAUUGACGGGG